CAGCUAGGAGUGCAGGAAAAGAAGAAGAUACAAAUGGAGUACUCAGAAUGGUUUGACAGCUGCAAGAGACGCCCAGAUCGUUUUUGUAUGUUUCUCUAUGCUUCUGUACCUAAACAGUACAUCUGCUGUUGUUGUUGACCGUGCAGUCUAAAAAAACACCCACUUAUUCUCAUCCUUGUGUACCUGAUUGUGUAUGUGAGGUGAACAAAAGUCAUGCAUUUGACCAGAUUUAUUAUGUUCUUGUUCUAGUCGACCGUGAGGAGGUUCUUACUGUUUGCUGACUCUAUUCUGUUUUGGUGGUGAUAUAACCUGGUUAUGAGGAAAAUGCCUCACCGGAACGUGGAUGAAACUGACGGGAGGUGGAUCCCUGCUCACCGACGCCAACCUCAUCCAUAUCAUUGUUGACGCCAUCAUUAACUGAUAGUAUGUUGUGCUGGUGAAGUUUUUUCGUUGCUGGAUCAUUUGAACCUGGAUGUCAUGUGUUGUGUGAUCUGAGCCAUAUAUGGCAUAUUGUAAACUUUUUAUUGCUGUUCUUUAUGUACGAUGUCACGAGAUGUACGUUUGAAAUGCUGCUUUGACAGCAAAAUUGUAUUCGUGUGUACAUGCUGCUUUGACAGCAAAAUUAUGAAUAUUUCUCAACAAUAUAUGAGUUAAA